AGCCAUUUUGUUUUUAUGCUCAAAAGGUUGGGCAGGAUACUUUUGUAGCUCACAUACGUUGUUGCUUCUCUGCUGGCUCAUUUGAUGGCUAUGGGGCAGCAGCUCAGCCUGCCACCACCUCUAGGUGUUUCUUCAGCUUCUCCAACUCCAAGGCUGGCAUUCUCUCUCUUGCUGCCCUGUGAAGAGGUGCCUUCCACCAUAAUUUUACAGAGCUUUCACUCCAGCAUCUGAAAGAGGCACCAACUCCUGCUAAAUCUUGAGAAUUGACACACUGAAGCCUUAUCUUCAGACUCUGGAAAAGGCUGGAAGCUUAUCAUGGGCCUGGAUCUUGUGUUAUUCAAAUGUUUUCACCGAUGCCUACAACUGUCUUUGGCACAUAGAAGAUGCAAACAAUAAACCUCAGAACAUCUCAAACCCAAGGAGUCUGGAUUUUCCUGACAUCAAUGUAUCCUUUUGAGUAUGUUAUCAUAUCUCUUAACAUUUCUGUUUCAUCCUUGACCUGAGACUUUUUUUUUUUUUUAAUCUUGAGAUAAUUCUUGGCUUUGUCAAGGCUACUGGUGACAAAAGCAUUAGCAAGCAG